UUGAAUUUCCAGUGCUCUGCCAGUGAGGAGGUGCACAAGAAGCUGGGAGGGAGGGAGCAUGGCUGAUAAAGCUGGCCCAAACCAGCCAAACAAAUAUUUCAUACAAUUGAAUGUCACACUCAGUAUAUGAACUGGGGAGAGUUGGUUGGGAGUGGAAGAUCACUGCUCAGGGAUGGGCUGGGCAUCAGCCAGUGGAUGCAGAGAUUUGAACCCAGAACUUCCACAGAACAUAUUGGGAACUGCAGGUCUCAGACUAUCUUCAGGAGAGCACCUUCAUAGCUCUGAGCUGGGACCCAUAUAUGCCAUCUCACUUGUUGGCACCCUAAUUACGAGGAAAAGACAGUUUUCUGGAAAAUCAGGGAGAGUGACCUUUUGGAACUGCUCAUCCCACUACUCCACCUCCAUACCACUCUAAGGUGUUCAGCAGUGCAUGAAUGUGACACCUCCCAAGGGCAGGAACAAGAAUCCCCUCCUCACCUGUGUUAUACAGCUUUGCAGAAGCUAGUUGUUUUCUUUUUUUGUGUCACUUCUAAUACCAAAUCAACAUUUUGUUAUGAAGGUAAAACUGUAAUACUGUUUUGAAUCCAAAUAAAAAAUAUCCUCUGACAUUUUCCCCCAUUAUAUUACUGCUCUCUAUGGUUCUGUCCCUUUGUCUUAGCUUCUGGUGUAAAGUGCUAGAGAAACAUGCUUAUUCUAUGGACACUGAGAUGAAAGAGGGAUUAAUGGAGAAUGUGUUUCAAUUUAAUUUCUGGCAUUAGUUUCUGUAUACGAUAACUUUGAUUCCUAGUGCUAUGAGAAAAGUUUCAGGGAAAUUAUUUAAUCUGUUUUUCAAUUUGUGAACUCCAUUAUUUCUGCAACAUUGUGCUAAUUUUGUAAAAACUUGAUCUUGACCAAACCCGCGUAUUGACUGGAUACUUGAUCUCAACUUUUGUUAUGGUGUGAAUUAUGUUACAGAUUUUAAAAAUUUUUCUUCUGUAUGAUAAAUAAGAAAUUUCUAGCUGUAAAAAUACUCCAUUGAUAUGUUCUGUUCUUACAGUUCUUAUUACUGAAGAAUUAACCUUAUAGUCCUACACAUUUACGACUUGACUGCUCUCCUUAUAUAAGAUGACUGAAUUUAAGAGCUGAAGGACACAUGAAAGGCAACUUAGUUUUAUGGAAGGUAGAAGUUUUACUUUUUUGGUUUCUACUCUAUUAUCCAACAAUAUGUUAAAAGACUGUUGAACAAUUGCCAGUCAUAACAAAUAAAGAAACCAGCAUUGCUCUCAGAGAUCUCAGUUAUGGAAUAGAUAACCAGUAGGAAAAAAAAUCCAUUUAUUUGCAAGAGAAAUCAAAAGCAUAAAGCAACCUGGCAUAUAACAAUUUAGGUCUAUUAACAAUUCUGUCUGGCUCCAUAAAGUAUCAUAAUUUUGAUAAUGAUGACAAAAAGAAGAACUAAUGCAAGUUUAUGUCAAAUUUUCUCUGGAACUGCUGAAUUGCUUUGUCCUUCUCAAAAACAUAAGCCUAAGACCUUGCAUUUGUGUAAAAUUUUGAAAUAAUCAAUCAUGGAAACAGCAUCUCAUUGCAGAAAACAUGAUUUCAAAAUUGAUUUGUCAUGCUCCUAUAUGGAUUUAGUGCCUUCCUUGUUUUGACAUUUCUUAUUUGUUAAAUGCAGGAGUGCUACUGUAAUUUCUCUGUGUUGCAAAUUAGAAGACCGGAAUAAAAAACUUUCUUCUUUGUUUUCGAA